rnacentral:tRNA from 1 species
CAUUAGAUGACUGAAAAGCAAGUACUGGUCUCUUAAACCAUUUUAUAGUAAUUUAGCAACUACUUCUAAUGA